rnacentral:rRNA from 1 species
CGCCGAUGGAGGGGGAUAACUACUGGAAACGGUAGCUAAUACCGCAUAACGUCGCAAGACCAAAGAGGGGACCUUGGGCCUCUUGCCAUCGGAUGUGCCCAGAUGGGAUUAGCUAGUAGGUGGGGUAAAGGCUCACCUAGGCGACGAUCCCUAGCUGGUCUGAGAGGAUGACCAGCCACACUGGAACUGAGACACGGUCCAG